rnacentral:rRNA from 1 species
UACGUAGGGACCGAGCGUUGUCCGGAUUCAUUGGGCGUAAAGAGCUCGUAGGCGGCCACUCAAGUCGAAUGUGAAACCUCGAGGCUUAACCUCGAGCCUGCAUUCGAUACUGGGCGGCUAGAGUCUGGUAGGGGGAUCUGGAAUUCCUGGUGUAGCGGUGGAAUGCGCAGAUAUCAGGAGGAACACCGGUGGCGAAGGCGGGGAUCCUGGGCCAGUACUGACGCUGAGGAGCGAAAGCGUGGGGAGCGAACAGG